rnacentral:rRNA from 1 species
UACAGAGGUCGCAAGCGUUGUUCGGAUUCAUUGGGCGUAAAGGGUGCGUAGGCGGCGCGGUAAGUCGGGUGUGAAAUCUCGGAGCUUAACUCCGAAACUGCAUUCGAUACUGCCGUGCUUGAGGACUGGAGAGGAGACUGGAAUUUACGGUGUAGCGGUGAAAUGCGUAGAUAUCGUAAGGAAGACCAGUGGCGAAGGCGGGUCUCUGGACAGUUCCUGACGCUGAGGCACGAAGGUCAGGGGAGCAAACGGG